AAGAAAGAAGCAUGAGUGGUUUGAUGCAGUUGGCUUGAAACCAGCGUAUGAGGGUUCGACUCCUUCCUUUCUUG
rnacentral:tRNA from 1 species